rnacentral:misc_RNA from 1 species
GAUGAAGAACGCAGCGAAAUGCGAUAAGUAAUGUGAAUUGCAGAAUUCAGUGAAUCAUCGAAUCUUUGAACGCACAUUGCGCCCUCUGGUAUUCCGGGGGGCAUGCCUGUUCGAGCGUCAUUAUAACCACUCAAGCUCUCGCUUGGUAUUGGGGUUCGCGGUUUCGCGGCCCCUAAAAUCAGUGGCGGUGCCUGUCGGCUCUACGCGUAGUAAUACUUCUCGCGAUUGAGUUCGAUAGGUCUACUUGCCAGUAACCCCCAAUUUUUACAGGUUGACCUCGGAUCAGGUAGGGAUACCCGCUGAACUUAAGCAUAUCAAUAACGGAGGA